rnacentral:rRNA from 1 species
AGAUUGAACGCUGGCGGCAGGCCUAACACAUGCAAGUCGAGCGGUAGAGAGGUGCUUGCACCUCUUGAGAGCGGUGGACGGGUGAGUAAUGCCUAGGAAUCUGCCUAGGUGGUGGGGGAUAACGUUCGGAAACGGACGCUAAUACCGCAUACGGUCCUACGGGAGAAAGCGGGGGACCUUCGGGCCUCGCGCCAUUAGAUGAGCCUAGGUCGGAUUAGCUAGUUGGUGAGGUAAUGGCUCACCAAGGCGACGAUCCGUAACUGGUCUGAGAGGAUGAUCAGUCACACUGGAACUGAGACACGGUCCAGACU